AGAGUUUGUUUUUGGCUCAGAUUGAACGCUAGCGGGAUGCUUUACACAUGCAAGUCGAACGGCAGCACGAGAGAGCUUGCUCUCUUGGUGGCGAGUGGCGGACGGGUGAGUAAUAUAUCGGAACGUGCCCAGUAGCGGGGGAUAACUACUCGAAAGAGUGGCUAAUACCGCAUACGCCCUACGGGGGAAAGGGGGGGAUCGCAAGACCUCUCACUAUUGGAGCGGCCGAUAUCGGAUUAGCUAGUUGGUGGGGUAAAGGCUCACCAAGGCAACGAUCCGUAGCUGGUUUGAGAGGACGACCAGCCACACUGGGACUGAGACACGGCCCAGACUCCUACGGGAGGCAGCAGUGGGGAAUUUUGGACAAUGGGGGAAACCCUGAUCCAGCCAUCCCGCGUGUAUGAUGAAGGCCUUCGGGUUGUAAAGUACUUUUGGCAGAGAAGAAAAGGCAUCCCCUAAUACGGGAUGCUGCUGACGGUAUCUGCAGAAUAAGCACCGGCUAACUACGUGCCAGCAGCCGCGGUAAUACGUAGGGUGCAAGCGUUAAUCGGAAUUACUGGGCGUAAAGCGUGUGUAGGCGGUUCGGAAAGAAAGAUGUGAAAUCCCAGGGCUCAACCUUGGAACUGCAUUUUUAACUGCCGAGCUAGAGUAUGUCAGAGGGGGGUAGAAUUCCACGUGUAGCAGUGAAAUGCGUAGAUAUGUGGAGGAAUACCGAUGGCGAAGGCAGCCCCCUGGGAUAAUACUGACGCUCAGACACGAAAGCGUGGGGAGCAAACAGGAUUAGAUGCCCUGGUAGUCCACGCCC
rnacentral:rRNA from 1 species